GACGAACGCUGGCGGCGUGCCUAAUACAUGCAAGUGGGACGCAAGGGAACAUACUGUGCUUGCACACCGUGUUUUCUUGAGUCGCGAACGGGUGAGUAACGCGUAGGUAACCUGCCUAUUAGCGGGGGAUAACUAUUGGAAACGAUAGCUAAUACCGCAUAAUAUUAAUUAUUGCAUGAUAAUUGAUUGAAAGAUGCAAGCGCAUCACUAGUAGAUGGACCUGCGUUGUAUUAGCUAGUUGGCAAGGUAAGAGCUUACCAAGGCGACGAUACAUAGCCGACCUGAGAGGGUGAUCGGCCACACUGGGACUGAGACACGGCCCAGACUCCUACGGGAGGCAGCAGUAGGGAAUCUUCGGCAAUGGACGAAAGUCUGACCGAGCAACGCCGCGUGAGUGAAGAAGGUUUUCGGAUCGUAAAGCUCUGUUGUAAGUCAAGAACGUGCGUGAGAGUGGAAAGUUCACACA
rnacentral:rRNA from 1 species